UACGUAGGGUGCGAGCGUUGUCCGGAAUUAUUGGGCGUAAAGAGCUCGUAGGCGGUCUGUCGCGUCGGCUGUGAAAACUCGGGGCUCAACUCCGAGCUUGCAGUCGAUACGGGCAGGCUAGAGUUCGGCAGGGGAGACUGGAAUUCCUGGUGGUAGCGGUGAAAUGCGCAGAGUAUCAGGAGGAACACCCGGUGGCGAAGGCACCAUCCUGGGAAGCAUCGUGACGCUCAGGUGCGAAAGCUAGGGGAGCGAACAGG
rnacentral:rRNA from 1 species